UACGGAGGGUGCAAGCGUUGUCCGGAAUCAUUGGGCGUAAAGGGCGCGUAGGUGGCCCGGUCAGUUCGUGGUGAAAGCGCGGGGCUCAACCCUGCGUCGGCCAUGAAUACUGCCGCGGCUGGAGCACUGUAGAGGCAGAUGGAAUUCCGGGUGUAGCGGUGGAAUGCGUAGAGAUCCGGAAGAACACCGGUGGCGAAGGCGGCCUGCUGGGCUAUGGCUGACACUGAGGCGCGACAGCGUGGGGAGCAAACAGG
rnacentral:rRNA from 1 species